rnacentral:tRNA from 1 species
GGGCGGUUAGCUCAGUUGGUAGAGCAUCAGUCUUACAAACUGGGGGUCACUGGUUCGAGUCCAGUAUCGCCCACCA